UGUUGUUCCAAGAAGACAAUGAAUAUGAAUAAAUAAAAUUUAAAAAAAAAUUUAGGUUCGUAAUAAAUUUAUGUAUACAAUACUUUUGUUGUACGAUUAAAAAUUAAUAUGUAGGUUUGUUAAAUAUUUUAUGUUUUAAUGAAAAAAUUUGGCGAAAAAAAUAACAAAUACAUAUUUGGACUUUUUUAUUACACAUUAAAAUCCACACCUAGGCGCCGUAGUCUUGGGGCCCAAUAAUUCUCAGUGUAGAAUAUGGAUACUUAUAAUUGACUGAAAUCGGUAAAUAUUUUAUUAUACGUGUUACCUAUGAUCUCCUGUUUCUACAAUAUCGUGCACAUUAAUUUAAUCGUCUAGUAAUUUCAAUUAAUAACCUUUUUUUUAUGUAUCUAAUUGAUACAAACAUAAUGUUUUCCAGCUAUUUUGUGAUAUUAAUAUUUUUUAUUAUAGCAUUAUGAUAAUAUAUUAUACUAUAUACCUA